rnacentral:rRNA from 1 species
UACGUAGGGGGCUAGCGUUGUCCGGAUUUAUUGGGCGUAAAGAGCGUGUAGGCGGCCAGGUAGGUCUGCUGUGAAAACUCGAGGCUCAACCUCGAGACGUCGGCGGAAACCAUCUGGCUAGAGUCCGGAAGAGGAGAGUGGAAUUCCUGGUGUAGCGGUGAAACGCGCAGAUAUCAGGAAGAACACCCGUGGCGAAGGCGGCUCUCUGGGACGGUACUGACGCUGAGACGCGAAAGCGUGGGGAGCGAACAGG